rnacentral:rRNA from 1 species
UACGUGAGGGGGCUAGCGUUGCUCGGAAUCACUGGGCGUAAAGGGUGCGUAGGCGGGUCUUUAAGUCAGGGGUGAAAUCCUGGAGCUCAACUCCAGAACUGCCUUUGAUACUGAAGAUCUUGAGUUCGGGAGAGGUGAGUGGAACUGCGAGUGUAGAGGUGAAAUUCGUAGAUAUUCGCAAGAACACCAGUGGCGAAGGCGGCUCACUGGCCCGAUACUGACGCUGAGGCACGAAAGCGUGGGGAGCAAACAGGG